CCUACGGGGUGCAGCAGUAGGGAAUCUUCCACAAUGGGCGAAAGCCUGAUGGAGCAACGCCGCGUGGGUGAAGAAGGUCUUCGGAUCGUAAAACCCUGUUGUUAGAGAAGAAAGUGCGUGAGAGUAACUGUUCACGUUUCGACGGUAUCUAACCAGAAAGCCACGGCUAACUACGUGCCAGCAGCCGCGGGAAUACGUAGGUGGCAAGCGUUAUCCGGAUUUAUUGGGCGUAAAGGGAACGCAGGCGGUCUUUUAAGUCUGAUGUGAAAGCCUUCGGCUUAACCGGAGUAGUGCAUUGGAAACUGGGAGACGUGAGUGCAGAAGAGGAGAGUGGAACUCCAUGUGUAGCGGUGAAAUGCGUAGAUAUAUGGAAGAACACCAGUGGCGAAAGCGGCUCUCUGGUCUGUAACUGACGCUGAGGUUCGAAAGCGUGGGUAGCAAACAGGAUUAGAUACCCUGGUAGUC
rnacentral:rRNA from 1 species